rnacentral:lncRNA from 1 species
UUUUUUUUUUUAUUUUAUUUAUGAUAGGCACACAGUGAGAGAGAGAGGGGCAGAGACACAGGCAGAGGGAGAAGCAGGCUCCAUGCACCGGGAGCCCGACGUGGGAUUCGAUCCCGGGUCUCCAGGAUCACGCCCUGGGCCAAAGGCAGGCGCUAAACCACUGCGCCACCCAGGGAUCCCGGAGGGCCCUUCUUAUAUGCUCAUCUCACUGGUCCCUUCCUUCCUCUCUCCCUUCUGCUCCUUUGCUCAGAAGCCACAAAAUAGCCACAAAAUGGAGUCUCCUUCCUUCAGGGUGCUGGUCCAGAGGAGCCUCUGAAAUAUACCCCUCACCCCGUGUCUAUUUAAUAAAAACCUAAUAAAAAGGAAAAUACCUUCUUGGGGUGCCUGGGUGGCUCAGUCAGUUAAGUUCUGCCUUUGGCCCAGUUCCUGAUCCCAGGAUCCUGGGAUGGAAUCCCGCAUCAGGCUCCCUACUCUGCAGGGAGUCUGCUUCUCCCUCUGCCCCCUCUCUUUCACAAGUGCACACUCCAGCUGUCUCAAAUAAAUAAAAUCUUAAAAAAACAAACAAACAAACCCAAACCUACCUUCUUUAAAAAGACAGAGCCUCUGUAUUUGUUCUCAUUCAGGCCCCUAAGCUGCCAAAGGAAAAACAAUCGCAAAGGAAAAUAACAAAGCACUUUAAUUAGGAGUUUUCAGGGUCAAAUUUGGCACAAGUCUGUCUCCCUAGGCAAGCACUGACUACUCUAUCCUGUCCUUGCUAGCAUCCCUAAGCAUCCCUGCUAGGCUGGAGGGCCCUGGAGGCAGGAAUUAUAAAAGGAGGCAGGAAUUAAAAAAGGACGCAUGCACUGGUCAGAUCUCAGAUCCCAAAGGGACCAUGGAGUCUCAGAAGUCAACCAGGAUCCCACACUCGCCAACAGUGCUGAAACCAGAAGCCUGUGUAGCCUGAAUAUGCACAGUCAAUACCUACAGGUUGCGUUCAGUUUGUGAUUUACUAGAAGAGGAGCAAAAAUGAUCAAGUCUUCCCAAAUCAGUGUCCAGGCUUAGUAUAAUUCCAGACAAACCCCAUAGAAUAAAAUUUGACUGGAAGAAUGGUGAACACUGCUAAGAGAAUUUGGACAAAAAGAGAAAGAAAGAUAAAGGUGUGGUAAGUGGAGGAGGACUUGCCUGCCAAACGGCACGAUUACAGAGCCGGGGAAGACGUGGAGGUGGAUCUAUUCACCAAAUGCUUGGUAAACUACUGGGGAAAAGAGUUCAGUUGAUUCUUGCCAAAUGAUUACAGAGAUCUGUAAAAUGGACACUAUCAAAGUCAGAAGGAAAUGGUUAGUUGUUUGAGGAUGCACAAAGAUUUCUUGGGUACAAAAGCCAUUAAAGAAAUCCAAAGGCGAAGUACAAGCAUUUGACUCUACAAAAUGCUGAAUUUUUUGUAGGAUAAAAAGUCAUGAACACUCUGUAGUUAGACAAGAAAAGUCCGGAUAGUGAGAUGAGGGGUGCUGUUUAGGUGCCACCUCACCCUAGCACCAUAUGUUGAAGUAACAAAACAUAGACUUGUCUUCCAAAACACAGCAGCUGGUUUCACCCCUGCUGCGAGGUGUGACACCUUGGCUCAUUUCCGAGGACUCAAAGGUUCAUGGGCAAUCCCACCUAUGAAGGUGCCCUUUGCUUACCACACAGGAGAAAUUACCUGUCUCCAUUCAUUUUUAAGUAUUCUUGUAAUCAAAUCAGAGUUAAAUGCAAAGGGAUGUUAGCUAUUUGGGGGAAAAAACUGGCUAUUUUAUCAAUAAAGAAAAAAACGUCUUGGGAUGCCUGGGUGGCUUGGUCAGUGAAGCAUCUGCCUUCAGUUCAGGUCAUGAUCUUGGGGUCCUGGGAUGAAGCCCUGUGUUGGGCUCCUUGUUCAGUGGAGUGGCUGCUCAAGGAUUCUCUCCCUCUCGCCCUGUCCAUCCCCAUACUCCCGCGCUCUCUCUCUCUCAAAUAAAUAAAUAAAAUAUUUUUAAAAAAAGAAAAAGAAAAAAAAAGUCUUAUAAAGCAAAUAAAGUUCAUUCAGCUUCCUAUUUAAAGUAGCUAAGUGGAUUUUGGUACUUUAUAUUUCUGAGAAAGGAAUUUUCUAUACUUUGUGUGAAAUGAUAUAUUUUCACAUCAUAUAUGUGAAAACCAAAGUAUCCAUUUAGUUCAUUUAUUAUGUUAACCUAUUAUGUUAACCUAUUAUGUUAACCUACAGUUAAUUCAUUAAAAAUCAUAGGAUACAAAUAUUUCCACCAAGUUUGAUUUAUGAAUUACUCAACUUUUGAGAAUUUCAAGGGAGUGCAGGAUCACAGGUUAAUACCUCCAUUUACUAUCACUUGACUACAUGCAUAAUCAAAUAAAAAUGAGAAAUAAGCUCACAGCAAUAAUCAGAACAUCGCCUGCAUUUGUUUUUCAUUUGGAUACUAAUGAAGCUCAGCAACAUCAUCUGAAUCACUCUUAACAGAUGCUUCCUAAAUACAAAUCAAUGCAGCUUUCUAACCUUUCCCACAAGUUUUGGGGGUAUUUAAAGUUACUGGGGGGGGGGGGGUCCUUACCACCAAAGAUUCUUGACCAGAAUAAGACAUGUCCCGCAGGAUGGAAUAUCAAUAGCCUCAUCCCCACAACCCCUUUGCCAUAUCCAGCUUUAUUUUCUGAGAGUCUUCUUUAAAAUGACUCUGUUUAGGCUUUCAUCAAACCAUUAACAAGUUCAAAAACUGUUUCCACCACAAAAAGCAAUGCAUUCAGUCAACAUAAUAAUGUUUCUGAGUCAGUUUGCUAGUGACUAUAUUAACUUGUGUGGUUCUAUUCACAAUCUCAGCUGACACUCCACACUUCUCAAGAAUGAUAUUAAAAAUACUUAAUGACAUGGGUCAGCCUGGGUCUUGAUCAAUCACAAUAGAUGCUGGCCACAAACUCAGAGGUUGAAAGUUCUGGACUAUCUGGCUCAUUGGUGCAGGUUCUUUCUCUUCCUCCUCAUCCCUGACUUCACAAACUCCAUCCCGGCUCCUGGAGGUGGGCUUCCUGGUUCUGCUUUGAUCCCCUUCUGCUUGGCCUGUGGUCUCUUCAUGGGUAAAUUCAUCAGCUCCUUUGUUUCAGUCCCCACUGUGCCCUAAUGACUUUGUCUCCAGCUGCUAAUUGAAAAUUUCUAUCUGGAUAACAUACAGGACUUUUGUAGGGGUCAAGGGCAGGCCACCCCAAGAUGUGCCACCAGGCAUGAAACCAGCAGACCUGGGAAAAGCUCUUUACUUCCCCCUCAAUUGCCUGCAGGUACGAGGAAGAAAGUUAUUACCAGAGAGGCCUCUGUACCUAAGAAACUUACCUGCAUAAUAGGACAAUCUCAGACUCCUAUCCCUCUUCUUAGCCUCAUGUUGCCUAAACUAUCUUAGGAAUCUCAUGUCUGUGUGGAUUCCCCAUACAUAUGUAAUUAAAUUUGAUUUUCUCCUGUUAAUGUGGUUCACAAGAACCCAUCUACUGGACUCUUAGUCCAACUGGAAGGACCCUGAAAGGCAGAGGAAAUUCUUCCACUGCAACACUUUUAAAUUCAAAAUAUUACAAAAAAAAAAAAAAAAUCACACUCGGUAUUCCCUCCUACUUUCUCCCUCCGCCCCACAUCCCCACAUGCAGAAGUAUGUAAAUGCACGCGCACACACACAUGCACCCCCCCCCCCCCCACACACACACUUGAUAGGUCCAUUUUUCUCAAAACACCCCUUUCCUUGACUUCUGUGAUACCACCCUAAUCAAGAGGUCCUAGAGACUACCUCCUUCUCAUGCUCUGGAAACAUCUGUGAAACAAAUCUUGAGAUAAAUUCAUUCAGCCCUGGAGACCUUUGAAUGUCUGCUUGUGGCUGUGCCCUCUCUGAUGGUGGUGUCACCUUUCCGAGGGCUCCUCUGCUAGUCCUGCUAGCCCACCACUCUCCCUUGAAACCCUGAAAUACGAACUCUAGCUUCCCCUGUUCACCUCCUCCCUUCAGCGCAAAAAAAAAAAAAAAAAAAAAAAAA